CAAAGUCUGCAGAGGAAGGAGGUUGGGGUAAGACUUGGGGUGCCAGAGGGUCAGUCAUCCAGGAGCCGAACCUGGAUCCAGACGUCUUGAUGGUGAUGGGAUCACUGAUACCUGUCAGUUUGCCACAUGCUGCAAGGGAAGAAGAGAGAUGGGAACAUCUAGAGCAACACCCACCCACCAGACUUAUUCCAGAUCUAUUAAAAGGGAUUCACUUUCA